rnacentral:lncRNA from 1 species
UUCCUUAAUAAACAAGUUUGUUUAAAAAUUGUGUUUCCAUUUAUAGUAUCUUGAAUGUACGUGUUGCAUAUUCACAAAUUGAAGGCGCUUCCGCUUCACAAAGACUAGACUGAGUUGAUUGUAGCGCCUUGAUGCAACUAUUCGUGUUCCACGGAUGUGCGUGUUGCAUGUUCAAAAUAGGCCAGUCUACACCCGGAGGAAUUGAGCUUAAAAGUAUUGAUUAAGGGGUAAAACUAGACGAGAAACUCAUUGGAAUACUCGGUUUUGUCCGAAAGAAACUCCUUUUUGGUGAAAAACAGCAUUAAAGUUGGCGAAUUUUCGAGUUUCGCGCCCGCGGUUGUGACGUCAUAAUGUAGAAAUUCGCGCGCGCCCUCCCUGGUUGUUUCCUGUACCCGCGGCCCGGCGGCCCGGCGGCCGGUUGCGGAAUACGGAUGUAAACAAACAGUAUAACCCCAUUGAUUCUGUGCAUGGAUGCAUUGAAUAUCGAUAAUGAAACUUUCGAACGACAUUAUCUCGUUAAUGGUGAUAAAGAAUAUUCGCUCUUGUUUUACAUUCUAAAGAAGAAGUAAUCAACAUCAUUCCGUGAAGUCAUUUCAGAAUUUGCUUCGCACAAAGAAGAAAUGUUGUGAAACUGCACCGUAGCAAGAUAAUAGAAGAAAAUGCCCAGAAAAUGCCUGAGAGAUGGCUUCACUGCUGCGGACGGUCGAAAUUUACCAGUGGUCGACAGCGAAAUGCUGGGGCAAUUUUUUUUUAAUGGCCAAUUUUUAAGUCCAGAGAUGAAGAACUGGAAAACUUUAAGAUCCAUGAGGAAAGAAUAUGGAGAUAAUGCGAUCGGCUACGUGCAAUUAAAGAGGGAAGGUACUCUUUGUGAACUUUGGGCCGACAUAACACCCGAAAUGAGUGUAGGCAGACCUGCUUAUACCCUGCACUGCAUUAUUGAUGAAAAAGAAGAGGAAGAAAAAAGGAAGAAGAAGAAGAAGAUGCCGAAGGAACAGAUAAAGAUGGAGAAGAUGAAGAAGCAGAGGAAAAUGGAAAAGAUGAAGGAGGCAGAAGAAUUGUUGAAGCGCGGUGCAUGGGCUGCCCUGCUCAGCUAGGUAGGUUGCGAAAACUUUACCUUGUAACAUCUUGCAGGCACCUUAUAGUCCAUGAAUUUUUAAGGGUACAUUUUAGUCUCGUUGGAAAUUUAUAAUAUUCAGUAAUUUCUAGACUCUAUAAAACAUCCUGAUAUCAGAGAAUGAAAAGUAGAAGUGAAAUGGAAGCAUAACAUAGUAGAAAAAUAUGGCUUUUAAGUCUGUCUAAGGAAAAGACUCACUGGUUGAAUAUUUUCACCUGGUUUGAACAUUGAUUACUCUCUUGCAGGUGUUUAAUCCUGGUGGAAUGGCGUGGAUUGAGUAUUUAGGGAGGGAAGCCUAGAGAGAGGGGACGUAUAAAUGGAAAUAGAGAAUCAAAAAUGUCAAGGACUUUUCCUAAAAUCAACUGCACUCAAUUGACGAUGAACAUUUGGGCUCUCUUUUGAACUGUAAUAGAAAUCAGGUUUUACUAAUACUUAGAACAAGAGAAAAACACUAUAAAAAGUGUGGGCCUAAUACUGUGAGUAAAAAGAUGGUAGAUUAGUGCUGGGUCCAAACUAUUCUGCAGAGAAAUCAAGGCCAAAAAUAAGCAUUGCAGAAAAAAAUUUCUGAGAAUUUUUGACCUUAAUUUCCCUGCAGAGUAGUGUGGACAGCACUGUUCUAUCAUCUUGAUACUAAAACUUAAAAUAUAUAAUGAAAUUGUUUAAUCCGACACUCAGUUAGUUUUAACAUUUUUGCUUUAUUUCAUUAAUUUUUCAUUUUGCAAAAAAGAAAUCAGUGAAAAUCGAUGAUUCUACUUUCAAAAUUUAGCUUGACAUUUUCCAAUUUUCUAUACCUUCUUUUGUCCACAACUUUUCAUCUCCUAGAAAUGUAUGUGCACAAUACAAUGCUUUUCAACAUUGUGAAAUGGGUGAAUCAUUAUUAAUAAAAUAUAUUUUGCAGGUGGUUGUAAACAUGCCAUUGCUUUCGUUGCAUGGCUGGUAGAGCUUGAGGGCUCCAGGCAAGAAAAUAGAGGACAUGAUCGGUCAGCAGUGCCAAGGUUUAAACAUGACUAUAAAUAUAUGGAUACACAUAAGAAUCGAAAUAAUUCAUAGCAUCAUCAAUCUUUGUAUUAAUAUAAUGGUCAUCCAAGCAAACUUCCAAAUUGUGACUUCUUUGUUUUUUCAAAAGCUGGAUCUGCUACACAGAACAAUCUUUUUCUUUUACUACACUGUAACAUUUGUAGGGUGAUCUGAGCAAGAUACUUUUUAGAGGGCUGCUUAAAAUCUUUGGUAAAAUAAGAAGGAAACGUUUUUUUAGAUGCAGGACACUUAACUUCAACAACGUAUUAUCCCAUUAUAGCAUCAGGAGAAGCUCCAAUGAUAGGUCGGAUUUUUGCAAGACAAACCCAAUUUUGGUUCUCUUCAAUUUCUUUUUCUUGCUCACAACUUGUAAAACCUGAGACUCCAAUUUCUUCCCUCUUUUGAUUUCCCUUGUAUCUUUGACUUUCACAAUUCCUAAUGUAGAAUGCAAAGUACUACCAUCACUUGUUUUGCACCUAGAUUGUUCAUGAAUUUUUGAAGCAGUAAUUCUUCCGAAACGUAGAUCAUACCACAAAGAUGACGUUGACUGGUUUUUGGUGGCUCUGGCUAAUGCAGCACAUUGCCUAUCAGUCAUGUUGGAAGAAACAAAUUCAGCAAAAUUUUUGGCACUAUGCUCAGAUAAAGGAAUUUUUUCUUUGUACUCUAUCAUUUGGUGGAAAAGCGACAAGGAAGUUUUAGGAGCUAAAUGCUCUACUAGAACGAAGUUUUUUUACUGAAUAACUGAGAUACUUCCUUGAAAAACUCGCUUUUCCUUGCCACUGGUACUGAUGAUGACAGCUGAGGUUUUAGAUCCUUUGCCUUAAAGAUUGUUCCAUCCUUGACAUGCGCAAGGGCUGACUUUGCCCAAUAGCACUUUUGAGACGUUGGAGAAAUUUCAUGAGACUGUCUCUCCAGCCAUGCAACGAAAGCAAUGGCAUGUUUACAACCACCUGCAAAAUAUAUUUUAUUAAUAAUGCUUUUCAACAUUGUGAAAUGGGUGAAUCAUUAUUAAUAAAAUAUAUUUUGCAGGUGGUUGUAAACAUGCCAUUGCUUUCGUUGCAUGGCUGGAGAGACAGUCUCAUGAAAUUUCUCCAACGUCUCAAAAGUGCUAUUGGGCAAAGUCAGCCCUUGCGCAUGUCAAGGAUGGAACAAUCUUUAAGGCAAAGGAUCUAAAACCUCAGCUGUCAUCAUCAGUACCAGUGGCAAGGAAAAGCGAGUUUUUCAAGGAAGUAUCUCAGUUAUUCAGUAAAAAAAACUUCGUUCUAGUAGAGCAUUUAGCUCCUAAAACUUCCUUGUCGCUUUUCCACCAAAUGAUAGAGUACAAAGAAAAAUUCCUUUAUCUGAGCAUAGUGCCAAAAAUUUUGCUGAAUUUGUUUCUUCCAACAUGACUGAUAGGCAAUGUGCUGCAUUAGCCAGAGCCACCAAAAACCAUCAACGUCAUCUUUGUGGUAUGAUCUACGUUUCGGAA